AUGGUGGCCUCGCUCCCGCACGACCUCCUCCUCGACAUCCUGCUCCGCGUGGACGACGCGGCCGCGCUCUUCCGAUGUGCCGCGGCCUCGUCGCCGACCCCGCCAUGCUCCGCCGCUGGUGGCCGGAGGACGUGCGCCCCUCCCUCGCCGGCUUCUUCAUCAAGAACUGGGUCCGUGAUCAAGAGGCCAGGGCGCUCGUCCCCACGCCACGGUCGUCGCUGGGCCGCCGGUGCCGCAGCCUCCGCUCUUUCGUGCCCACCGUGCCGGACCGGGCGGUACCGCUGGCCUCGCGCCGCGGCCUGCUCCUCGUGCGCCUCGUCCCGCCCCGUGAGGCGGACCUCGACCAGACGGUCCUCCGUCUGGCCAUGUGCAACCUGCUCCUCGGCACGUGCGACGAGCUUCCUCCUCUAA
rnacentral:rRNA from 1 species